rnacentral:rRNA from 1 species
GACGUAGGGGGCAAGCGUUGUUCGGAAUUAUUGGGCGUAAAGCGCUCGUAGGCGGGACUGGAAGUCCGUGUUGAAAGACCUCGGCUCAACUGAGGGACCGGCUCGGAUACUCUAGUUCUUGAGGCAAUCAGAGGGUGAUGGAAUUCCCGGUGUAGCGGUGAAAUGCGUAGAUACCGGGAGGAACACCAGUGGCGAAGGCGAUCACCUGGGGUUGUUCUGACGCUGAGGAGCGAAAGCUAGGGGAGCAAACGGG